UCGCAUCUGUGCAUGCAGCAUAUCAAUAAGCGGAGGAAAAGAAACUAACAAGGAUUCCCCUAGUAACGGCGAGUGAAGCGGGAAGAGCUCAAAUUUGAAAUCUUAAAGGGUUUCCCUUUACGAAUUGUAGUUUAAAGAAGUGUUUUCUGUUGAGGUUUUGGUAAAAGUUCUUUGGAAUAGGACAUCAUAGAGGGUGAGAAUCCCGUAUUUGACCUUUACUUUCAACUUUGUGAUACACUUUCAAGGAGUCGGAUUGUUUGGGAAUGCAGUCCAAAAUGGGUGGUAAAUUUCAUCUAAAGCUAAAUAUUGGCGAGAGACCGAUAGCGAACAAGUACCGUGAGGGAAAGAUGAAAAGAACUUUGAAAAGAGAGUUAAACAGUACGUGAAAUUGUCAAAAGGGAAGCGUUUGACACCAGUGUUGUUUUUCUGAAAAUCAAUUAAAGAACUGUUUAUGCUAAGCUGUUUAGACUUUAUCAGCUAACUGUUUAGUUUUGAGCUUUUCUUUAAUGCACUUUUCAGUUAACAAGUCAACAUCAAUUUCUUUUGCUGUAAAAAAGCUUGAGGAAGGUGGCUUGAGAUUCGUCUUAAGUGUUUAUAGCCUCUUGCCUAUGCAGUCGGAGAGAUUGAGGUCUGCAGCAUAGAUCCUUCGGGGCUAAAUGCAUUUGUGCUAAGUUAUAGCAUUUUAUAGACAACUUGUUGACUACGAUUUGUCUUGUAGCUUACUCGCUUAUGUUAUUUUACCUACGCUUAGGAUGUUGACUGAUAUGUAGUCGUA
rnacentral:rRNA from 1 species